ACGUUGGAUACUGGAGCGGGGAAGGAUUUCGUGCCAACGGCACUCGUACACGAGUUGUUCGGAUACUGAGCACAACGUUACACCGUUUUGUUAGGAAAGUGAAGGUGCGUCGGCGGCGUGCGUUUUUUUUUUGCUUUUUUUUUUUUUUUUAAAAAAAAAAAAAAAAAAGGCGCCCCCCCCUGGGCCUUUUUGAAAAGGGGGAAAAA
rnacentral:rRNA from 1 species